rnacentral:rRNA from 1 species
GUGGGGAAUAUUGCACAAUGGGGGAAACCCUGAUGCAGCAACGCCGCGUGAGUGAAGAAGUAUUUCGGUAUGUAAAGCUCUAUCAGCAGGGAAGAAAAUGACGGUACCUGACUAAGAAGCCCCGGCUAACUACGUGCCAGCAGCCGCGGUAAUACGUAGGGGGCAAGCGUUAUCCGGAUUUACUGGGUGUAGAGGGAGCGUAGACGGCGAGACAAGUCUGAAGUGAAAGCCCGGGGCUCAACCCCGGGACUGCUUUGGAAACUGCCUUGCUAGAGUGCUGGAGAGGUAAGUGGAAUUCCUAGUGUAGCGGUGAAAUGCGUAGAUAUUAGGAGGAACACCAGUGGCGAAGGCGGCUUGCUGGACAGUAACUGACGUUCAGGCUCGAAAGCGUGGGGAGCAAACAGGAUUAGAUACCCGAGUAGUCC